rnacentral:rRNA from 1 species
UUGGUGGAGCCAUUGGGUUUAAUUCGAAGCAACGCGAAGAACCUUACCAGGUCUUGACAUCCUCUGACAACCCUAGAGAUAGGGCUUUCCCUUCGGGGACAGAGUGACAGGUGGUGCAUGGUUGUCGUCAGCUCGUGUCGUGAGAUGUUGGGUUAAGUCCCGCAACGAGCGCAACCCUUGAUCUUAGUUGCCAGCAUUCAGUUGGGCACUCUAAGGUGACUGCCGGUGACAAACCGGAGGAAGGUGGGGAUGACGUCAAAUCAUCAUGCCCCUUAUGACCUGGGCUACACACUGCCUACAAUGGAA